rnacentral:rRNA from 1 species
CCUACGGGUGGCAGCAGUGAGGAAUAUUGGUCAAUGGACGAGAGUCUGAACCAGACAAGUAGCGUGAAGGAUGACUGCCCUAUGGGUUGUAAACUUCUUUUAUAUGGGAAUAAAAUGUUCCACGUGUGCGAUUUUGUAUGUACCAUAUGAAUAAGGAUCGGCUAACUCCGUGCCAGCAGCCGCGGUAAUACGGAGGAUCCGAGCGUUAUCCGGAUUUAUUGGGUUUAAAGGGAGCGUAGGUGGUUUGUUAAGUCAGUUGUGAAAGUUUGCGGCUCAACCGUAAAAUUGCAAUUGAAACUGGCAGUCUUGAGUACAGUAGAGGUGGGCUGAAUUCGUGGUGUAGCGG